UGAACGCUAGCUACAGGCUUAACACAUGCAAGUCGAGGGGCAGCAUGGUCUUAGCUUGCUAAGGCCGAUGGCGACCGGCGCACGGGUGAGUAACACGUAUCCAACCUGCCGUCUACUCUUGGACAGCCUUCUGAAAGGAAGAUUAAUACAAGAUGGCAUCAUGAGUCCGCAUGUUCACAUGAUUAAAGGUAUUCCGGUAGACGAUGGGGAUGCGUUCCAUUAGAUAGUAGGCGGGGUAACGGCCCACCUAGUCUUCGAUGGAUAGGGGUUCUGAGAGGAAGGUCCCCCACAUUGGAACUGAGACACGGUCCAAACUCCUACGGGAGGCAGCAGUGAGGAAUAUUGGUCAAUGGGCGAGAGCCUGAACCAGCCAAGUAGCGUGAAGGAUGACUGCCCUAUGGGUUGUAAACUUCUUUUAUAAAGGAAUAAAGUCGGGUAUGGAUACCCGUUUGCAUGUACUUUAUGAAUAAGGAUCGGCUAACUCCGUGCCAGCAGCCGCGGUAAUACGGAGGAUCCGAGCGUUAUCCGGAUUUAUUGGGUUUAAAGGGAGCGUAGAUGGAUGUUUAAGUCAGUUGUGAAAGUUUGCGGCUCAACCGUAAAAUUGCAGUUGAUACUGGAUAUCUUGAGUGCAGUUGAGGCAGGCGGAAUUCGUGGUGUAGCGGUGAAAUGCUUAGAUAUCACGAAGAACUCCGAUUGCGAAGGCAGCCUGCUAAGCUGCAACUGACAUUGAGGCUCGAAAGUGUGGGUAUCAAACAGGAUUAGAUACCCUGGUAGUCCACACGGUAAACGAUGAAUACUCGCUGUUUGCGAUAUACAGCAAGCGGCCAAGCGAAAGCGUUAAGUAUUCCACCUGGGGAGUACGCCGGCAACGGUGAAACUCAAAGGAAUUGACGGGGGCCCGCACAAGCGGAGGAACAUGUGGUUUAAUUCGAUGAUACGCGAGGAACCUUACCCGGGCUUAAAUUGCAGAUGAAUUACGGUGAAAGCCGUAAGCCGCAAGGCAUCUGUGAAGGUGCUGCAUGGUUGUCGUCAGCUCGUGCCGUGAGGUGUCGGCUUAAGUGCCAUAACGAGCGCAACCCUUGUUGUCAGUUACUAACAGGUUCCGCUGAGGACUCUGACAAGACUGCCAUCGUAAGAUGUGAGGAAGGUGGGGAUGACGUCAAAUCAGCACGGCCCUUACGUCCGGGGCUACACACGUGUUACAAUGGGGGGUACAGAGGGCCGCUACCACGCGAGUGGAUGCCAAUCCCCAAAACCUCUCUCAGUUCGGACUGGAGUCUGCAACCCGACUCCACGAAGCUGGAUUCGCUAGUAAUCGCGCAUCAGCCACGGCGCGGUGAAUACGUUCCCGGGCCUUGUACACACCGCCCGUCAAGCCAUGGGAGCCGGGGGUACCUGAAGUGCGUAACCGCGAGGAGCGCCCUAGGGUAAAACUGGUGACUGGGGCUAAGUC
rnacentral:rRNA from 1 species